CUUUCCUAUGGCAGGGAUGCAUACCAGCCUGGUCUUUUACUGGUACUUGUUUAUAUGUCUUUAAUCAGUGAUCAUUUUACUUUAUUUUCCCUUACCCCCAGCAAAAAAAUAGUCAUUUCAUUAGGUCCAAUGGUAUGAAAUCUAUUUCUCAAACAUGAGCCAAAGCCCACUACUUUAACUGAGCACAGAGCUCAGAGAAUUCCCUGAGUAACCCCACAGGAUACUCAACUCCAAGGGCAAUGGGGCCAAGCUCUCCAGAUGAUAUGGGAUGCAGACAGCCCUCUCUUUCUCUGCGGCUAAAUAACGAGGCCAUUAUAUACAGUGCCCUCUGUGCUCACCGCCUCUGUUAGCAUUUUGCUUUUCAAUUUGGGUCUUGGCCUGUAUUGUGCCCCUCUAAAGCACAUGCCAUUAUGAUUUUAAAAUAAUGGGAAGAAUGCGAUGGCACUGCUUAUUGGUGAUGUGACUCUCAGACUGUCCACAGAUUGCCGAGGGUGUUCCUGUCAAGAGCUUGUUCGGAUUGAAAGCACAAGCAGCUCCAGGAGCCUUGCUGACCCUUAUCUUCACGCUCAGGUCUGCAUUGUGGAAGCUGUUCUCUAUUUUCUUCCUUAGAGAACAUCCUUGAUAAGAGAAAAUGUUGACAACUGUACCUUUCUUGAGAGUCACUAAGAAAACAUUUCUUCCUGUCAAUCUCUUUUCAUGUGCUGCGCAGAAGAAAGGAAAGGGGAUAUUGCUUUGGGGAAUAACCUUGAUUUUCAGCAUGUAUUUAACAACCAAUAUUUUCUUGAGCACCUACCAUGUGCCUAAUUGGGAAAGGAUAAAAAGAUAAAGGUAAAGUAAUAAGGGGAUUUGUAUGUGUUGAACUUCCUAUAGCUCACUCUAAGGGUUCAGGAAUCAGGCAGGUCUGAGUUUGAACACUGACUCCAACCCCAUUGCCUGUAACACUGGUUGGGGCGGUGUAUUUUAAGCUCUCUGAGUGUCCAUUUCUCUGUGCUGUUAAACAAGGAUAAUGAUACCUGCUUUGUGGGUUGUUGGAGUGAGUGAACGAGGUACUGUGAGUAUAGUGUCUAGUGCAAUCCUGGCACAAAUGAGCCUUCUUGGAAUGUCAGCUAGCUUCCCACUUACUUUAUGCCAUGCUGUUUACCUGUCAGCCAUUCUGUUGCCUGACACAAACCUGCCUGUACCUCACAAGUGAUUGAUGGGCAUUAUGGUGACUUCAACUGUAUCAUAGCUCUGCAAUGUAAAGAAUUCCAACCCAGAAAAGUGACCAUGUAAUAGUGAGCAUAGUUUUAUGAAAACAAACUUUCCAAAGCUUAUAAGUCCACAUGGUUCUUACCCUCAUUAAAGAAAGAUCACACCAGGAAGGUGUGGUAGUCAUAAGUCUGUUCACCAAUAUUCUGACAUUCCCCCUCCAGGAUUACAGCAGUGUGACACUCCUCCAUCCCUUUGGGAGUUAAGCACACCAUGUGAUUCGCUGUGUACAAUGACAUGUGGGAAGUGCCUUGCAUCACUUCCAGGAGAUUUAAAAUAUUCCAUUCUCACUGCCACCAUCAUAGUGGAAGCAAAGAUUGAAUUGGGGCUUAUGUGAGCCUAGGCCCACGAAGUACAAUAAUGAGCAGAAUCCCUUUGAUAAUCCAUGUUAAAGAUAUUGCAAGAGUGACAAGUUCACUUUUAUUACAUGGCACCUCUGAGACAUACAGUUGUUCACAAUCUGCCUAGACUAAUAGAGGAGGUUCUACACAUAUUCCACUAAUUCUGCCUUUGCUCAAAAUAUUUCAGACAUUCUUCUGAUAGAAUUGCUUUCAGGGCAGCAUGUGACUACUGCAGUGUUAAUGUGAAGAUGUCCUUGCUCUCUGCCCUGUGACAGUAUUGCCUGGCUUGGUCCUUCACUUUCUUCCAUCUUAUUCAUUAGACUCGACUCGGACUGCAUCUGCUGUCUACAAAGAACUGAUUGAACACCACUGAGCCUAUUGGAGUGAAUGUGUCCCUCAGAAGGAGUGGUGGAUGUGGGUGUGGGGGAUUUGGAGGCAGUUCAUCCAGGGACAGACAAUAAGAAGAUGUCUUGUUUAUAGAAAAUUUAAAAAUAAUAGAACCACUAAGACACAGUCUACUUUUUAUUAUCACCAUAAAUGCUCAAUUCAAAACAAUGCAUGGGAGAAAUACUCCUCCCUCACUCCCACUUUCCUCCUUUGUUAAGAAACUGCUUUGAAAGCAACUACAAAGAGGAGUUUUCAGAACUUUUGAACAGCAAAAAUGUGGUUGGGAUGUGUUGUCUCCACUAAGGUGAGUGUUUUCAAAGAGAUAACAUUGUGCAUAUUUAUUUAAAAGGAUAAAGAGAGGUCAUUCUACUUCAUAGAUGCCUUUUGUAUAUUAAUUUGGAUAUUGGCUUAUGAAUUUAUCUCUAGUCAUACAUGCAUUUGUCUAAAUCCUGGGCCUCAUUCAUUCAUAGGUAUGCAUAGGUUCUGACCAGUACUGGACACAUAAUUGGGACCUAGUAUAUGGUGGAUGACUCAAACUUGGUUAGCAGCAAAAUAGUAAAUUUCUUUUGUUGUUUUUUAACCUGUCAUAGUUAGAAGAAUCAAGGGAGAGCUCUGGCUCACUGUUUUGAGGGGUGUAGUUUUUGUUGAUGGUGAGAAACUCCAAAGUCUGCUGUUUAGAGAGAGAUGGGUUCCAGCUGUUGGAGCUGACAGAGAUCUGAGGCAGAUGUACACAUGACACAGCACCCACACCCACCAGAGUUAAGGAAAAUCAGGAGCGGUACCUCCCUCUGUGUCCACACAUACAUCCAGAAUGCUCUUCAGCGACUCUCACUGUUUCUUUCAUGUUCUUUCCGUGCCCUGUUGUUUGCAUGCAAUUAAUCUCAAGUAGGGGUGAAGAAAGAAAAAUUGAUUUGUCUCAGGAAGUACACUCUAAGUGAGAAUCCUUUUUGCAGGUAGGCUUCUAUAGGAGGUAAGAAGGGAAACGGAGAUGGGAGAACAGUUUGAAUGUUGGCUAACUCCAGGCCUCAGUUUUGUAAAAUAUGAAUGGAUAUAAUACUUGUAUAGAUAGUGGUUGGGAUCAGCCCACAGCAGUCAAUAAUCAUAGGGAUUUCUUGGAUACCAGGUCAUAGUGAACUUGGCCUUGGGAAAAUAUUAACCUCCUGAGCUCUAACUGUUUUUUGGAAAAAUUAUGAUGGUAAGAGGUGGGAUCAGGGGAAGCUUGGGUGUCAGGAGUCUUUUUACCAUUUUGAAUGUCCACUUUAACAUUUUCUGCAUGAGGGCCUAAGAUUGAAUGGAGCAUGUGUAGCCUCUGGCAUGCUUGGAGUCUACUCAUUUUCCAAGGAACCUUCCAGAGGGUGCAUGACCUUGGACAGACCAUCUUGUGCACUAGAGCAAGUCUCCAGGGCUGAAUGGAUGUCAUCAGGAACUUUAAGAUAUGGCCCAGGUUCUGAAAGAAUGAUGACUCCAGCCAGUACCAUAUCAUAUGUGAGAAUGCCACAUUUCCCAAGAGAGACCUGAGCACUCCUGCCUGGACCAUGUGGAUACACCUCCAGUGUCGAACAGGCACUGGCUCUGGUCUGCAACUUGAUGAGAUGUAUUUAUGGCCUCUGGGGACAUGUAUUCCUUCUAGUACUGACAGAGCUAAUCAAUGACUGAACGAAUUUGUCUUUGCACAGCAAAGUGAUGCCUGUUGCACUUUUUGAGGAAAAGAAGCCAGGUGGCCAACAAUAGGAGGAUUGAAACUAGGACACACUUCACGUGUGUGCAGGAACCUGCCCAUGCACAGAAGGUACCCGUUCACCUCACGGUCACUCUGCUUUAUUAUGGGUGCUGGUAGCACCACAUGACAUGUAAAUGCCUUUGGAACUACUACAUCACGCUGCACCAUUGAAUGAGAAUGUGAAUGCAGAUAAUUGUCAAAUUCCGGGCAGUAUAAUUACAUAGUAGAAAUCGCCACUCUUGGAUAAAGCUUUCUCUUUUGUUUCCUUCAAAUUAGGACAGGCCUGCAGGACUGAUUCAUGUAUUAUGUACUGUCACUGACUAUUGGCCACCAUCACUGACUUCCAGGUGACAUGCAAGAGAAACUAUUGAAGUCUUAGUAGCUAAUUCAAUUAAAUGGGAAGUAUGGAUUAAACACUCAAAAUCAUAUCAUCAAUCCUGAAGUUGCUGAAUAAGAAAGGAUUUGGAAGUAUGGCUUAUGAACAGUGUGGCAUUAUGAUGAUAUGGAAACUGUAGGUCCCAAAAGUGCUGCUGCAGAAUCUCUAGACUUUUGCUUUGGAAGAUCACGUGUACUUAAACUGAUCUUUAUAUACUGAAGAAUAGAGGGGUUACUAUCUAGUAUUUGUUCCCCCAAAGAUAUUGUUAAGUUGAUGUUACAACUGAUGGAAAUUGGAAACUGAGGAAAUAAGAGGAUGUGGAGCCGCACAUUGGAAGUACCCUAAGGCCAGUGCAUGUAGUAAGUAUCUGCAGAACAUGUUUUAUACAGGGUGGCUGUUUUAUACGUAUCCCCCCAUUGCCUAUCUUUUUAGGCUUGUUGGUUUAUAUACUUGUUUCUAGGGUAUGUACUUUUAUUCAAGAAAAAUAUGCCAUGGUUUAGGAUGGGAAAGGAAUAUUAUCAUAGUAAAUAUAGCAUUGACUAGAUUUAUUAAAAUUUAAAAAUAAAUGGGAGGUGGUAUAAUAUGGAUGAAUGCAUACUGACCUGAGAUGCAGUUUUCAUACAUAACUUUUGAUGACAUUGUCUGAUGUUAUGGCUGUUGGUGAGAUAAUGUAUUCUGCAGACACUUCUGCAUCUUUACCAAUGUAGAGGACGAUGGAAUCUUCUCUACAUUUCCUCCAUCAGACCACUUAUAGGAGCAGAUCCGGUUGGUGCUUUUUUAAUGCACUGAGUUCCUUUGUAGGGCACCUUUAAAGCACUAUUUUGAUUUAAUUCUGAAUUGACUGUAUUCCUGAGUUUGGGAAAUCAAAUUUUAAUAUGAACUUGCAAAUAGCCCCAGUGCUUUGCCCUUAUUCAUACGCCAGCAACCUUCACUGAAGUCGGAAGCAGAGUCAAGCUGUUGUCCUGAAGAUGGUUUCAAGAGCUCAGGAGUCUUUCUGGACCCUUUUAUCACUGCAUUUCAAUGAGGUCUUCAUGUCUCUCUUCUCUUGCUUCCUCCAAAGGAAGCUGCAGCCAGUACUCCAGGACGUGGCGAGGCCAAGAGUGCCCAAGGACCCUUCCAGGACUGUGCUCCUCCAGUUUGUGAAAUUUGCCAUUCUUAUCACUGCUUUUCCUUUUUUCACACCCUAAUACAUCAUAAUAAAUGCUACUGUUUUGUAAAAUUUUACUGUAUGUAAAAACCCACCUUUACAUUUUUAAAGGACUGAGCUCCCAGAUCAAUUGGCAUGUUUUAAGUCUUCUAUGUAAAAGUUUAUCAAAUUCUGAUUAGAGUAACAUUUUGGAUUACACAAUCUACUUGAAGUUCUUAAUGGACAUAACAUUUUUUCCUAUUAAUGAGCACUAAAAGUGUUUUAACUGAAUCAAUAAAGGUGGCAUUUUUUGUUGUUGUUGUUGAGGUGAAGUAACUUUU